CCUGGUAUAAAUAACAUAAUGGUACCACCUGAAUCCAUUCCGAACUCAGAAGUGAAAUAUUAUAGUGCCGAUGGUAGUGUGAGGUCUCCUCAUGUGAGAGUAGGUAAAUACCAGGA
rnacentral:rRNA from 1 species